rnacentral:rRNA from 1 species
GAUGAACGCUGGCGGCGUGCCUAAUCCAUGCAAGUCGAGCGAACGGACGAGCAGCUUGCUUCUCUGAUGUUAGCGGCGGACGGGUUAGUAACACGUUGAUCACCUACCUAUAAGACUGGGAUAACUUCGGGAAACCGGAGCUAAUACCGGAUAAUAUUUUGAACCGCAUGGUUCAAAAGUGAAAGACGGUCUUGCUGUCACUUAUAGAUGGAUCCGCGCUGCAUUAGCUAGUUGGUAAGGUAACGGCUUACCAAGGCAACGAUGCAUAGCCGACCUGAGAGGGUGAUCGGCCACACGGGAACUGAGACACGGUCCAGACUCCUACGGGAGGCAGCAGUAGGGAAUCUUACGCAAUGGGCGAAAGCCUGACGGAGCAACGCCGCGUGAGUGAUGAAGGUCUUCGGAUCGUAAAAAUCUGUUAUGAGGGAAGAACAUAUGUGUAAGUAACUGUGCACAUCUUGACGGUACCUAAUCAGAAAGCCACGGCUAACUACGUG